rnacentral:rRNA from 1 species
GACGAACGCUGGCGGCGUGCUUAACACGUGCAAGUCGAACGCUGAAGCUCAGCUUUUGUUGGGUGGAUGAGUGGCGAACGGGUGAGUAACACGUGAGUAACCUGCCCCCUUCUUUGGGAUAACGCCCGGAAACGGGUGCUAAUACUGGAUAUUCACUGGUCUUCGCAUGGGGGUUGGUGGAAAGGGUUUUUCUGGUGGGGGAUGGGCUCGCGGCCUAUCAGCUUGUUGGUGGGGUGAUGGCCUACCAAGGCUUUGACGGGUAGCCGGCCUGAGAGGGUGACCGGUCACAUUGGGACUGAGAUACGGCCCAGACUCCUACGGGAGGCAGCAGUGGGGAAUAUUGCACAAUGGGCGCAAGCCUGAUGCAGCGACGCCGCGUGAGGGAUGGAGGCCUUCGGGUUGUGAACCUCUUUCGCUCAUGGUCAAGCCGCAACAAUGGUUGUGGUGAGGGUAGUGGGUAAAGAAGCGCCGGCUAACUACGU